rnacentral:rRNA from 1 species
GUUAGCGGCGGACGGGUGAGUAACACGUGGGUAACCUACCUAUAAGACUGGGAUAACUUCGGGAAACCGGAGCUAAUACCGGAUAAUAUUUCGAACCGCAUGGUUCGAUAGUGAAAGAUGGUUUUGCUAUCACUUAUAGAUGGACCCGCGCCGUAUUAGCUAGUUGGUAAGGUAACGGCUUACCAAGGCGACGAUACGUAGCCGACCUGAGAGGGUGAUCGGCCACACUGGAACUGAGACACGGUCCAGACUCCUACGGGAGGCAGCAGUAGGGAAUCUUCCGCAAUGGGCGAAAGCCUGACGGAGCAACGCCGCGUGAGUGAUGAAGGUCUUCGGAUCGUAAAACUCUGUUAUUAGGGAAGAACAUACGUGUAAGUAACUAUGCACGUCUUGACGGUACCUAAUCAGAAAGCCACGGCUAACUACGUGCCAGCAGCCGCGGUAAUACGUAGGUGGCAAGCGUUAUCCGGAAUUAUUGGGCGUAAAGCGCGCGUAGGCGGUUUUUUAAGUCUGAUGUGAAAGCCCACGGCUCAACCGUGGAGGGUCAUUGGAAACUGGAAAACUUGAGUGCAGAAGAGGAGAGUGGACUUCCAUGUGUAGCGGUGAAUGCGCAGAGAUGUGGA